GCUUACGGCCACACCGCCUGGUUCACGCCCGAUCUCGUUUGAUCUCGGAAGCUAAGAUAGGUUGAGCCUGGUUAGUACUUGGAUGGGAGACCGCUUGGGAAUACCAGGUGCUGUAAGAU
rnacentral:rRNA from 1 species